UCCGUUGUGGUCUAGUGGCUAGGAUUUGUCGCUCUCACCGACAAGGCCGGGGUUCAAUUCCCCGCAACGGAA
rnacentral:tRNA from 1 species